rnacentral:lncRNA from 1 species
UGAUGGGCACAGGGCUGGUUCAAAUCCUUGCGCACUUAGUGAGCACAGCUAAGGAAGAAGCUGGGACAAAGACAAGGGACCCAGGAGGGAGAUGGGAGGCCACUCACGGGACGGCGGCCUGAGCUCUCAAAGCAUUUGCACCUCUCUUCUGUGACCCUCCAUGUUGUGAGCAGGGGCCCGGAUGCAGACCUGCACCAGUGUUUCCAGCUGAAAUCCCGCGCAGAGGCAGUGUCCUGCCUUCCUGUGACCAAAAUCAAGUUUGAAGGUGCCUAGCCGGCAGACAACUGAAAUCCUGAGAGGAUGGAGAUGGGGGUCAGAUCUCUGCACUUCAAAAGACAUUUGUUUUCUGUGCUACAAAAAGGAUUAUUACGUGAAGUCUAAUGGGACCAUGGAGUGGGCACAUGAGCUGGAGAUUCAUGCAAUAGACAUGCCUGCUGUUCCUUGCUGCCUUGUCAGCAUGUGGUGUUCUUGAUGCCCCAUGAGCAUAGCAUUCCAGGGAAACCAUGAUGCAUGGAAGUGUGACUCAAAAAUGGCAUCAAAUAGCAAAUAAAAAAUAUCAUGAUAAGAUGAGAGAGAGAGACUGGAAGAAAGAAGAAAGCUCUGUAUUUUAGUAACUUCAAUGAUACCUUUUUCCUGCUUUUUGAAAAAGAGGUCCCACAUUUUCAUUUUGAACAAGGAGCCCCACAGUUGUGAGAACAGCCUGACAGAGGGCAUGGAGACUGAGGAUAGGAGGCCCACUCAGAUCCCAGAGUUAUUCAGAGAGGAAGAAACCAAUGCUUUGAAAGGUUGAGCAACCUGUCCACAUCACUUGACCGGCAAGCAGCACAGCCAAUGACCGUGGACCCAUAGACCUCAGCCACCAACUUCUGUGCUGUCCUGCCUGCUAGGUGUAACAUACCUAAUUCUUUUGCCCCUGUCUCCUUGGAUGUCAGGCUCCUCCUGCCCUCCUUGGCCCCUCCCUGUUGGGUGUACAUCCUUCCAGACUGUUUUCCAUGCACUUCGGUGCCAGGAUGAUUAUCAAGAUGCCACUUUCUUUGCCAUCCUUGUAUCCUUCCUCCAGAUAUACAAGGGCUGGCCUAUGUAACCAGUAGAAAACUGUGGAAGUGAUGGGGCAGGACCAGUAGAAUACUAGAGAAGUGAUGGCGUGGGACAACUUCCAAGGCCGCAUCACAGAAGGCAUUGCAGCUUCUGCCGUGGUCUCCUGGACUGCACACUGGGCAAGCCAGGCACCAUACUGUGAGGAUGCUCAAGCAGCCCCGAGGAGAGGCACACGUGGAGAGGAACUGAGGCCUCCUGCCAACAGCCACGUGAGUGCACCACCCAGAAGUGGGUCCUUCAGCCUCAGACAGGCUUUCAGAGGACUGGAGCCCUUGCUGACCUCUGACUGCAGUCCUGUGAGAGACCCUAAGACACAACUUCCCACUCACACUGCUCCUGAAUUCCUGACCACAGAAACUGUGAGAGAUGUGAAGUGCUUAUUGUGGGAAGCUUUGUUAUGUACUUUCUUACAUAAUGCUAGAUUACAAGUGCAGUUGCUGCCCAUGGGUGCCACCUGCUGGUGUUCCUGCCCCUGUGUACCCCCUCCCCUUGAGUGUGUGCCGUGAUGGGAUGUCACUCUGAGACUGCACAGCAAAGCCUCUGGCUUCUACCUUUCUCACUCUCUUGCUCUCUUGUCUCCCUUGCUCUGAGGGAAACUGGCUGCCAUGUUAUAAGCUGCUCUAUGGAGAGGCCCAUGUGGCUAAGAAUUGAGGGAGGCCUCCUGCUGAUAGCCAGUGAGGACCUAAGGACCUCAGUCCCACAUCUGGUGCAGAGCUGCACUGGCCAACAACCAUGUGGCUGAGCUUGGAAGUGGAUCCUCCCCCAACUGAACCUUGAAAUGACAGACGCUCCAGCAGGCACCAUGAUGCCAGCCUUGUAAGAGACCCUGAGCCAGAACACACAGCUGAGAUGUGUCUGGAUUCCUGACCUGCAGAAACUGUGUGGCAAUAAACAUUUGUUGUUUUAAAGCUGCUAAGUUUGGGGGCCAUUUGUUACACAGCAGCAGAUAACAAAUACAGUUCUGAUUAAUGGCACCAGCCUCACCUGUCCUAUUCCUAGAUAUGCUUAGCUUAGCUUUGGUCUAGACUUGGGUCUCCAUGUACAACUAUAACCUUGGUCAUCUGAAGCUCAGAGUAGGAGGGGGUGUAUUGAGGGAAUGAGACUACGAGGAGGCACACCCCAAUAUCUGCUGCUUUCUGGAAAACUCAGCCUCCAAAACUAAGUCAGCAACCAUAGGAGAUGGCCGUUGCAAGGUGGUUAAGCAUAAGGGAAUAACACAGGUUCGGAGCCAGCUUCUACCACCUCUUUCCUUUAACAGAGUUACAGGUCCUCCCUGAGCUCCCAUUUCUCAGGGGCCCUCCUGAAGCAGAGAAGGAAGCCACAACAUGGGCAGUCUAACUAGCACCAGCCAGAGAGCAGACACGAAGACGAAAGGAGAGGUUCUUUGUAAGGAACUUAGCCCUGGAACACGGCAGGUGCUUGUUAUGAGCUUGGCCUUGUAGUUAUCAGGGCACUUGGCAUCAUAGGCAUCACCCCAGCCACUGUUGGCAUGAAGACCUUGCAAUGCCAUCCUGGUUCCUGGACCCGGGCAUAUUAACGAUGAUGCCCACAUCUGAAGGACAAGAAGGUCUCAGUCGUGCAAUCACAGAGGAUUCACCUGGAGCUUCCCUGAGGAAUGUUCUUUUGGGCCGAGUCACCCGCUUGCUCCGGUGAGGCUGAGCUUGAGCUUUGAAUCCUGCCUGGAAUACAAAGGCCCCAUCAAACACUGCCAGGCUCACCAGCUCCCCUCCACCGCAUGCGCCAAGGGUCUCCCUCGCUUGGGUGUUUAUUUCUUGCUGUAAGAAGCGAUGAUUUAAUUCUUGCCUGGGAUAUCAUUCAGCCCAAGUUCGUGCUGAAGUGAGGCAUAUUUCAGCACUCACCAAUGUCCAUAUAGAUAAAAGAGAAAAAAAAGAGAGAGAGAAAACAACCUCAACCAGCCUCUUCAAGAGCUGUGCAUUUGAAACCUGUUUCUUAAAGAUGGAUUGCCCGUUAGGCUGCUAAGAGGUUUUUCUUGACUUGUCAACAUUUUAUGCCCCCACAAACAUUCUUGGCUAUAAAUUAUUCAUUGCCCAGUUAGUGGUUAAAAAAAAAAAAGCUGCCCGGGGCUGAGAUACUUUCUUAAUUCCCCCUCUGCUUUUCAGAUCCAAGUUGUUUUUGUCCCUCCUCCUGCUGGAAAAGUAGAAAUAACUGGAAGUCUCUGGACUCAGAGGUGCGUGGCUAUGGCCGGAUGAGAAAAUAGAGUUGAGUACAGCAUGAGCUUGGCUGGGGUCAGGGAUGGGGGCAAUUACAGUUUUGGGGUCAAGCCUGGACACUG